GUCAAACAGACGCCGAACGGACAGAGUUUCCCCUGUCCGCCCAAGGCUCAUCACAUGUACAUUUUCAUCAAUAGAGAAAAACACUAGCGGAAACAUGCACAAACGGCUUUCACGAGGGUAAGCAAUAGCCAUUAGUGAAAGAAAGGAAAACUAAGCAUCUACACAAGUAAUAUGAUUCAUUUUAGAUCACAUACAUUGCAUCCAUCUCUUACAUUUAGGAUUCUUUGCAUUUCAUUACAUCAUUUCAUCAUUUCUUUCUUAC
rnacentral:lncRNA from 1 species